rnacentral:tRNA from 1 species
UCCCUGGCAGUCCAUUGGUUAGGACUCUGCACUCUCAUUGCCGAGGGCCUGGGUUCAAUCCCUGGCCAAGGAA